CCUACGGGUGGCAGCAGUGGGGAAUAUUGCACAAUGGGGGGAACCCUGAUGCAGCGACGCCGCGUGAGUGAAGAAGUAUUUCGGUAUGUAAAGCUCUAUCAGCAGGGAAGAAAAUGACGGUACCUGACUAAGAAGCCCCGGCUAACUACGUGCCAGCAGCCGCGGUAAUACGUAGGGGGCAAGCGUUAUCCGGAUUUACUGGGUGUAAAGGGAGCGCAGACGGCUGCGCAAGUCUGGAGGUACAGGCGGUGGCCCAACCCCCGGACUGCUCUGGAAACUGUAAAGCUGGAGGGCAGGAGAGGUAAGCGGAAUUCCUAGUGUAGCGGUGAAAUGCGUAGAUAUUAGGAGGAACACCAGUGGCGAAGGCGGCUUACUGGACUGCAACUGACGUUGAGGCUCGAAAGCGUGGGGAGCAAACAGGAUUAGAUACCCGGGUAGUC
rnacentral:rRNA from 1 species